UAAUUUAAAUAUGAGUUUCUCCCUCUUACACAAAAGAAAUCUGGAGGUAGGUGGUGUCCAGGUUUCUACCUCUCUGCUCUGGUAUCCUCAGUGCAUGGUUUUUAUCCUUAAGUUACCUCAUUCUCACUGUCCAGGAUUGUUUUUGGAGGCAGUGGGGAAGGGAGGAAAAGGAAGUUUCCCCAGUUGAAUCAGCCUCCUGGAGGCAGUUUUCCUGGAGGACCACACAGCAUUGGAACUUACGUCUCUCGGCCGUGUAGCUGCUAGGAAAGCCGAGAAAUACAUGUGGCAAUUGGACCAGCUAAAAGUUAGGAUCUUUAAAGAAGAAGGAAAGAGGUCAUGUUUGGUAGGCAACUUUUGGUUUUAACCCAGACAGCUUUAUUGGCUACCUAAAUAUCUGUGCACACUCUUCUGAAACAUAGAAAACACUCAACUUCCUCUUCCCAAAAAGGAAAUACCCCAAAUUCAGUCCAUUAUUGCAUAUAGCUCAAAGACCAUGAUAUCCUUGUAUAGUCCCCUCUAUCAGGUUAGGAUAUGGCGCCUAAUGUUCUGGCCAUCUACAAACUAAAAAGCAAGGUGUCUGUCACCUGAGAACCAAAUGCAUAAUGGUGAAAUAGGUACAGGAUAACUGCAAUAAAAUCAGUUGUUAUUUCUGUUUAUUUAUUUCUGUUUCUAAAAUCCCCUUUUAGAAAAGGGGAAAAUGGGAAACAUAACAGUCUCUGAUCCAUAACACUUAAAAGGCACUGCUUGGCAAAAAUAGCAAGGUCUCUCUGCUCUGUCCAUAAAUAUAUUUCUGAGUUUUCCAAUCAGGCAAACCCGGAUUCACCUUUCUGGUGAAUUCAUGUAUUUGAGUGGGCAUUGGAAAGUGUGGACAGUGUCUUUGGGGUUGACAGCUUUAGUACUUCACUUUCUGUUAUGAUGGGUUUAGGGGUUUGAGGAUUGUUUUAGAUAGUUACAGGCUGUUGUAGGCCAGGUUUAGGGUUUGUGUCUGUUUUUGUUUGGUUUUAUUUUUUGGCAAAAUGUUCCCUAAAAACUUAGUAAGUUACUGGUCUGUCUUUUUAAAUUAUUACCAUGAGUAACCACAAAGAUCUUGUCAAGUCACAAGGUUCUUUGUUAAACCUCAUCUUUUACUUGCUGGCUUCUGUGUUCUCUCUCUUCUCUUGGGUCUUAAAUGAAUGGUACUAUUUGGGACCAUUUUAAACUAUGGGCUUGGAUGGGAUGGCAAUAGUCAUCAGUCAGAUCUUUUUCCUUAGGAUUGCUCCCAUUACUUGGCAGAAAAUGCUUAAGGGAAGGUUUAUGAAAAAGUUGAAGAAGCUUUAGCAGCUUCCUCAGAACCCUUACUUACACAUGUUUCAGUUUGGAAUAUGGUCGUAGCUGACUUUUUCAGUUCUUCAGGGCUCUAGAUUUAGGACUUUGUCAAUUUAUUUUGUAGAGAGCAAUUCCUUGGCAAAGCUAUAUUCCUUUCCAUCUGUGCAGUCUUGUUAACCUUAGCCUGAAUCACAUCUCUCUUGUAAGACUUUGCUGAAAGAGGCUAAAAGCAGCCCACACAUGCUAACAUUCUGAAGUUCUACCACCAUUUCCUCUAACACCUUAACCUUAGUGGCAUGAGGUCUGACUGCCCAAAGCCCUACCUCCUCAACUAAGCUAACUCCAUAUAUAAGAUCCUUCUACUAGCUGUACCUUACUUCUAGCUACCAAAUUUCUAUCAAGGUCAAGAUUCCUGGUUGUAGAUAAUGGAACCUUCUUUAGCUCUGAAACACAAUGGGAUUGUUUAAGGGGUGCAUAUAGUUCACAGACUCUUUGGGAAGGCUGAUGAAACAGAACCUAGGUUGAGCUUCAUAGGAACGGCAUCAUAAGAGCGGGCUGCCAAAGACGCUGCUGCUUUUGGAACAAUCAAGAAACUGCCUGCCAGACCAAGAAGCCUCCUGCUGGAUUAAGGAAACUGUGAACAGUUGCCCGCUCCAGAGCUACACCGCCUCUGCUGUGCUUUGUGUUGGCAAAAAUAUACAGUACAAUGAAGAAGAAAUUGAAAAAGAGCCAGAGUUAGACGAUGACCUUCUUCAUUUUCAUGCGAGAUUUUUAUUCCCUGCAGAGGCUGCUAAAGAAGUCCACUGUCACCCUUCACCACCGAUGCCUCAACUUCAAUUCAUUUUGUUUUUUGAACUGAGAGACUAAGCUGUAUUGAGUAAAAUGCAAAGUGUACAUUUUUGUUUCCUGUGGGUGAGAUAAUGAAAGAUUAUGACAACUUGCUUUCAAGUUGUGAGAUUUGAGGGAAAUCAAGGUCUUUUCCUUCCUUUUUUUUUCCAUACAAUAUCAUUGCAGGAUUCCAGUCUUUCCUUACUCAUGUUUUAACUUAUUUUCUACAUGAGUAGUUAGCUAUGGAUUAGCAUUCAUUUCUUAGACAAUCCAAGAACUUAGCCAGAACAAGCAGCAGCAGUAAGUGUUAAAGACAUCAAAUUGAAAAAUUUAGAUUUAUGGUUGCUAGCACUGCCAACCUGUUUACUGAGAAAAAAGCAAAACAAAAUAAAACCAAUAAAACCUCUGAUUUAAUUUAAGAAUUUAGAUUUUUUUCGACAUAUUGCCUAUAGAAUGUAGAAAAACCCCUACAUUUCAUGUUCACAGAUGUCUAUAAUUUUCUUUGCACAGCUUUUAGUUUACAUUUUGCUUGACAUUAGUAUAUUCUUUCAAAAGAAUUUUUUGUAAGUUUAUUUAUUUUGAAAGAGACACAGACAGCAUGAGCAGGGGAGGGACAGAGAGAGAGAAUCCCAAGCAGGUUCUAUGCUGCCAGCUGCAGAGCCCAUUGCUGGGCUCCAACCCAUGAACUGUGAGAUCAUGACCCGAGCCAAAACCAAGAGUCAGAUGCUCAACUGACUGAGCCACCCAGGUGCACUGACAUUAGUAUAUUCUUGAUGAAUGCCAUGUCCCAGCUUGGUUGUUAGCCAGCCCUUGACAGUGUCUUUUUCCUUACAUGCUCACCCUUCGGGUUAACUUCAAAGCUAAACAUGCCUGUAAACAGGUUUUGUUUUGUUUAUUACCUAUUACAAGCAAUAGAUUUGGCUUUUGUUGUGCAAACUUCCUUACCUCUUUUUGUUUUAUCCGUAGUAGUAAAUAUAUUUUUCAAGACUUCCAGGAUUAUGAAUAUAUAUCUUGUAAUAAAGUGUUAAAAUAUUUUGUUUUACAAUUCUUCUAAUUUUGCUGCUCCAUGGCAUUUAAAAAUGGGUAGUGAUUUCUUCCCAUGUGAUUUUUGUUUUAAGUUUAUUUAUUUAUUUUGAGAGAGAGAGAGAGCACAGAAGGGGCAGAGAGAGGAGGGAGUUAGAAUCCCAAGCAGGCUCCGCACUGUCAGCACGGAGCCAGAUGCAGGGCUCCAACUCAUGAACUGGGAGAUCAUGACAUAAGCUGAAGUUGGCUGUCUAACCGAUGGAGCCGCCCAGGUGACCCUAUUCCCACGUGAUUUUAAACUUGUGACUUGUCUGAGUGCUUUGAAAGUGAGAGAGAAAAAAAUAAGGUUCCAUUUAGUUCUCUUUGCCUUCUCCCAUGAAUCGUUGUAUUAAAAUGUUAUUUGUGUUCAAUUUUAGUCCACGUUAAAUGUAGAUUUUUAAUGAUAUGAGAGUAUGUGUCAUUUAACUAAAUGGCCACCCUCAUUUUGAUUCCCUGUGUGUGGAGUAUGAAACCCAUGGACAGCCUGUGCCAUUCCGUAUGUGUUUUGUACUAUGCUGUGUUACCUGGUUUACAGUUCACGAUUACCCUUCAAUUGUUAAAGUGACUUGAGCUUGCUUUACUUUUGAAUUUUACCUUUUCUGUUCUUGGUAUUGCUACUUUGUAAAUAUUUCCUUGUUAGUAUAGUGAUGUCUUAAAGAUAUUUUCUUUUUUAAAACAUUUGCCAUGCCUCGUCAUGUUUAAACGUCUUUGUGGUAGUACUGAAGCAUCUUUGUCAAACACAACAAUUUAAAACUCCUAUCAUCUUGUUCUAUAGCAUUGAGCAAUGUUAUCUUACCAUUUGUAGCUUUUUUUUUUUUCUGAUUAACUCUCAGUUCUAAUCUUGUGUACAUUUAUUGUUUCCUUUGGUGUGUAUGUAUUUUCACUCUCUUUGAUAUUUAUAGUAUGCCUCAUUGAAAUUCAGGAUUGAUACUAGGAAAAAGAAAACCACAUUUGCAGAAGGAGCUAGUUAGGCAAGCAGGCAGUCACUUAUAGAGGGGUUUCUGAGCACUGUGGAGAGUAAUUCUAACCCUGAAGAAAAUUUCUGACUCAUUUAUAGAGCUCCUGACACCUCUUCCACAGAGUGAACCAGCUUGUGAGCAAAUGCAUAGUAUUCAGAUUCUGAUGAAUGUCCCUUUGUCCAAUUCUUUAGCUUUUUUUGUACCUUCUUUAAAUAAUAAUAGUUUAAAAAAAUAUUUUGUGCAUUCCAGCAGACAUUUUGUGUCUUACGGUUGUUAAUAAAGGAGAAAAAUAUUUUUUGUAAUAGACCAGGACGUGAAUUUGGUAAUCUCUGAUUAAAAGAGAAGUAGCCUAGUUUUUUGUAUUCGUUAUUUUUGCCCAGAUGAUCUGAGGUUUAAUUAAAUUCUUUUCUUUCUA